rnacentral:hammerhead_ribozyme from 1 species
AUCUAGAUGACGAGUUUCAAAUAGGACGAAAUGCGCAUCCUGGAU